rnacentral:rRNA from 1 species
CCUACGGGUGGCAGCAGUGGGGAAUAUUGCGCAAUGGGCGAAAGCCUGACGCAGCGACGCCGCGUGAGGGAUGAAGGUCUUCGGAUCGUAAACCUCUGUCAGCAGGGAAGAACGGUCACUGUGCUAAUCAGCAGUGAAUUGACGGUACAUGCAAAGGACGCACCGGCUAACUCCGUGCCAGCAGCCGCGGUAAUACGGAGGGUGCGAGCGUUAAUCGGAUGUACUGGGCGUAAAGCGCUCGUAGGCGGUAUGUCAAGUCAAGGGUGAAAUCCCCGGGCUCAACGUGGGAACUGCCUUUGAAACUGUCAAACUGGAGUGUGUGAGAGGAUAGUGGAAUUCCAGGUGUAGGAGUGAAAUCCGUAGAUAUCUGGAGGAACAUCAGUGGCGAAGGCGACUAUCUGGCACAUAACUGACGCUGAGGAGCGAAAGCGUGGGUAGCAAACAGGAUUAGAUACCCGGGUAGUC